rnacentral:pre_miRNA from 1 species
ACAACAUUCAGACCGUCGGUUUACCGGGCAAUAUCACCGGAUCAGUGGAAGCUCUUCCCUCCGUCGU